rnacentral:rRNA from 1 species
AGAGCUUGCUCUCUGGGUGACGAGCGGCGGACGGGUGAGUAAUGUCUGGGAAACUGCCUGAUGGAGGGGGAUAACUACUGGAAACGGUAGCUAAUACCGCAUAACGUCGCAAGACCAAAGAGGGGGACCUUCGGGCCUCUUGCCAUCAGAUGUGCCCAGAUGGGAUUAGCUAGUAGGUGGGGUAAUGGCUCACCUAGGCGACGAUCCCUAGCUGGUCUGAGAGGAUGACCAGCCACACUGGAACUGAGACACGGUCCAGACUCCUACGGGAGGCAGCAGUGGGGAAUAUUGCACAAUGGGCGCAAGCCUGAUGCAGCCAUGCCGCGUGUGUGAAGAAGGCCUUCGGGUUGUAAAGCACUUUCAGCGAGGAGGAAGGUGGUGAACUUAAUACGUUCAUCAAUUGACGUUACUCGCAGAAGAAGCACCGGCUAACUCCGUGCCAGCAGCCGCGGUAAUACGGAGGGUGCAAGCGUUAAUCGGAAUUACUGGGCGUAAAGCGCACGCAGGCGGUUUGUUAAGUCAGAUGUGAAAUCCCCGGGCUCAACCUGGGAACUGCAUUUGAAACUGGCAAGCUAGAGUCUCGUAGAGGGGGGUAGAAUUCCAGGUGUAGCGGUGAAAUGCGUAGAGAUCUGGAGGAAUACCGGUGGC